rnacentral:rRNA from 1 species
UUGAACGCUGGCGGAAUGCUUCACACAUGCAAGUCGAACGGCAGCACGGACUUCGGUCUGGUGGCGAGUGGCGAACGGGUGAGUAAUAUAUCGGAACGUAUCCAAUAAUGGGGGAUAACUAAUCGAAAGGUUGGCUAAUACCGCAUACCCCCUACGGGGGGAAAGCUAGGGACUUUCGGGCCUGGCGUUAAUGGAGCGGCCGAUAUCUGAUUAGCUAGUUGGUGAGGUAAGAGCUCACCAAGGCGACGAUCAGUAGCUGGUCUGAGAGGACGACCAGCCACACUGGAACUGAGACACGGUCCAGACUCCUACGGGAGGCAGCAGUGGGGAAUUUUGGACAAUGGGCGCAAGCCUGAUCCAGCCAUUCCGCGUGAGUGAAGAAGGCUUCGGGUUGUAAAGCUCUUUCGCAAGGGAAGAAAACUUAGUUACUAAUAUUAACUGAGGUUGACGGUACCUUGAUAAGAAGCACCGGCUAACUACGUGCCAGCAGCCGCGGUAAUACGUAGGGUGCGAGCGUUAAUCGGAAUUACUGGGCGUAAAGCGUGCGCAGGCUGUUUUGUAAGUCAGAUGUGAAAUCCCCGAGCUCAACUUGGGAACUGCGUUUGAAACUACAAGACUAGAAUAUGUCAGAGGGGGGUAGAAUUCCACGUGUAGCAGUGAAAUGCGUAGAGAUGUGGAGGAACACCGAUGCGAAGGCACCCCCUGGGCCAAUACUGACGCUCAUGCACGAAAGCGUGGGUAGCAAACAGGAUUAGAUACCCUGGUAGUCCACGCCCUAAACGAUGUCAACUAGGUGUUGGGAGGGUAAA